UACAGAGGUCCCAAGCGUUGUUCGGAUUCACUGGGCGUAAAGGGUGCGUAGGUGGCAAGGUAAGUCGGAUGUGAAAUCUCCGAGCUCAACUCGGAAAUGGCAUUGGAAACUACCUUGCUAGAGGAUUGGAGGGGGGACUGGAAUUCUCGGUGUAGCAGUGAAAUGCGUAGAUAUCGAGAGGAACACCAGUGGCGAAGGCGAGUCCCUGGACAAAUACCUG
rnacentral:rRNA from 1 species